GGUGGCUCAGUGGUAGAGUGCUUGCCUUGCAUGCAUGAGGCGCUGGGUUCGAUUCCUUAGCACCA
rfam:Dipodomys ordii contig_55027, whole genome shotgun sequence.